UACGAAGGGGGCUAGCGUUGCUCGGAAUCACUGGGCGUAAAGCGCACGUAGGCGGAUUGUUAAGUCAGGGGUGAAAUCCUGGAGCUCAACUCCAGAACUGCCUUUGAUACUGGCGAUCUUGAGUCCGGGAGAGGUGAGUGGAACUGCGAGUGUAGAGGUGAAAUGCGCAGAUAUCAGGAGGAACACCAAUGGCGAAGGCAGCGCGCUGGGACGGUACUGACGCUGAGACGCGAAAGCGUGGGGAGCAAACAGG
rnacentral:rRNA from 1 species